CCGAAGGUGAACGAAACGUCACGCUCCGC
rnacentral:sRNA from 1 species